GAUGAACGCUGGCGGCGUGCCUAAUACAUGCAAGUCGAGCGAACAGACGAGAGUGCUUGCACUCUCUGACGUUAGCGGCGGACGGGUGAGUAACACGUGGGUAACCUACCUAUAAGACUGGGAUAACUUCGGGAAACCGGAGCUAAUACCGGAUAAUAUUUAGCUUCGCAUGAAGCAAUAGUGAAAGACGGUUCUGCUGUCACUUAUAGAUGGACCCGCGGUGUAUUAGCUAGUUGGUGAGGUAACGGCUCACCAAGGCAACGAUACAUAGCCGACCUGAGAGGGUGAUCGGCCACACUGGGACUGAGACACGGACCAGACUCCUACGGGAGGCAGCAGUAGGGAAUCUUCCGCAAUGGACGAAAGUCUGACGGAGCAAUGCCGCGUGAGUGAAGAAGGUUUGCGGAUCGUAAAACUCUGUUGUAAGGGAAGAACAAGUACGUUAGUAACUGAACGUACCUUGACGGUACCUUACCAGAAAGCCACGGCUAACUACGU
rnacentral:rRNA from 1 species